GUAGUCCACGCUGUAAACGAUGGGUACUAGGUGUGGGAGGUAUCGACUCCUUCCGUGCCGGCGUUAACACAAUAAGUACCCCGCCUGGGGAGUACGAUCGCAAGAUUAAAACUCAAAGGAAUUGACGGGGGCCCGCACAAGCAGCGGAGCAUGUGGUUUAAUUCGAAGCAACGCGAAGAACCUUACCUGGACUUGACAUCGUCUGAAUAUCUAAGAGAUUAGAGAAACCCUUCGGGGCAGAUAGACAGGUGGUGCAUGGUUGUCGUCAGCUCGUGUCGUGAGAUGUUAGGUUAAGUCCUGCAACGAGCGCAACCCUUAUCAUUAGUUGCUACCAUUAAGUUGAGCACUCUAAUGAGACUGCCCGGGUUAACCGGGA
rnacentral:rRNA from 1 species